GCCGGGCGUGGUGGCGCACGCCUGUAAUCCCAGCACCCGGGAGGCUGAGGCAGGAGGAUCACUGUGAGUUUGAGACCAGCCUGGGCUACAUAGUGAGUUCCAGGUCAGACUCAACUACAUAGUGAGACCCUGUCUCAA
rnacentral:SRP_RNA from 1 species